rnacentral:rRNA from 1 species
GACGGAGGAGGCAAGCGUUAUCCGGAAUUAUUGGGCGUAAAGGGUACGUAGGCGGCUGGUCAAGUCUGGGGUCAAAGGCCACAGCUCAACUGUGGGAAGGCCCUGGAAACUGACCGGCUAGAGUGAGGUAGGGGUUGCGGGAAUUCCCGGUGUAGCGGUGAAAUGCGUAGAGAUCGGGAAGAACACCUGAGGCGGAAGCGCGCAACUGGGGCUCAACUGACGCUGAGGUACGAAAGCGAGGGGAGGGAAUGGG